rnacentral:rRNA from 1 species
GAAUUUUCCGCAAUGGGCGAAAGCCUGACGGAGCGACGCCGCGUGGAGGAUGAAGUAUUUCGGUAUGUAAACUCCUUUUGUAGACUACUAAGUUUUGAAGAGUCUAAGAAUAAGAGGUUUCUAAACUCGUGCCAGCAGAAGCGGUAAUACGAGUGCCUCAAGCGUUAUCCGGAAUCAUUGGGCGUAAAGGGUGUGUAGGCGGUUUCGUUAGUCUUUUGUGAAAGCUCUCUGGCUUAACCAGGGAAACGCAAGGGAAACGGCGAGGCUGGAGUGCGCGAGGGGUCUGUGGAACUCUAAGUGUAGCAGUGAAAUGCGUUGAUAUUUAGGGGAACACCAAAAGCGAAGGCAGCAGACUGGAGCAUAACUGACGCUGAAACACGAAAGCGUGGGUAGCGAAUGGGAUUAGAUACCCCAGUAGUC